rnacentral:misc_RNA from 1 species
CCAAACUUGGUCAUUUAGAGGAAGUAAAAGUCGUAACAAGGUUUCCGUAGGUGAACCUGCGGAAGGAUCAUUAUCGAGUUUUGAAACGGGUUGUAGCUGGCCUUUCCGAGGCAUGUGCACGCCCUGCUCAUCCACUCUACACCUGUGCACUUACUGUAGGUUUCAGGAGCUUCGAAAGCGGGGGAAGGGGGGCCUUCACGGGAAGGGCCCUCUCUUGCUGGAGAUGUGACUGGGCUUACGUUUACUACAAACUCUUAUAAAGUAUCAGAAUGUGUAUUUGCGAUGUAACGCAUCUAUAUACAACUUUCAGCAACGGAUCUCUUGGCUCUCGCAUCGAUGAAGAACGCAGC